rnacentral:rRNA from 1 species
AUGAUGACUCUCGGCAACGGAUAUCUCGGCUCUCGCAUCGAUGAAGAACGUAGCGAAAUGCGAUACUUGGUGUGAAUUACAGAAUCCCGUGAACCAUCGAGUCUUUGAAUGCAAGUUGCGCCCGAGGCCACCCGGUCGAGGGCACGCCUGGCUAGGUGUCACGC